CCUAACACAUGCAAGUCGAACGAGAAAGCCGGUAGCAAUACUGGUGAGUAAAGUGGCGACCGGGUGAGUAACACGUGGACAACCUACCUUUGAGUGGGGAAUAACCCUGGGAAACCGGGGAUAAUACCGCAUAACAUCCCGUGACGACGGUUGUGGGAUUGAAACCCGAAAGGGGCUCAUUGAGGGGUCCGCGGCUGAUUAGCUAGUUGGUGAGGUAACGGCCCACCAAGGCUUUGAUCGGUAGCCGGCCUGAGAGGGCGGACGGCCACACUGGAACUGAAACACGGUCCAGACUCCUACGGGAGGCAGCAGUGGGGAAUUUUGCGCAAUGGGGGAAACCCUGACGCAGCAACGCCGCGUGGAUGAUGAAGGCCCUUGGGUUGUAAAAUCCUUUCGGCAGGGACGAAUCAAUUGACGGUACCUGAAGAAGAAGCCCCGGCUAACUCCGUGCCAGCAGCCGCGGUAAUACGGGGGGGGCGAGCGUUGUUCGGAAUUAUUGGGCGUAAAGGGCGCGUAGGCGGUGUGGUAAGUCUGUUGUGAAACCUCCAGGCUCAACUUGGAGCUUGCAUCAGAUACUGCCGUGCUAGAGUGCGGGAGAGGAGAGUGGAAUUCCUGGUGUAGCGGUGAAAUGCGUAGAUAUCAGGAGGAACACCGGUGGCGAAAGCGGCUCUCUGGACCGCAACUGACGCUGAGGCGCGAAAGCUAGGGGAGCAAACAGGAUUAGAUACCCUGGUAGUCCUAGCCUUAAACGAUGAACACUUGGUAUAGCGGGUAUCGAAUCCCGCUGUGCCGGAGCUAACGC
rnacentral:rRNA from 1 species